rnacentral:rRNA from 1 species
CGGGGGGAGCAAGCGUUGUUCGGAUUUACUGGGCGUAAAGGGCGCGUAGGCGGCCUCUGCAAGUCGACUGUGAAAUCUCCGGGCUUAACCCGGAAAGGUCAGCCGAUACUGCAGGGCUAGAGUGCAGAAGGGGCAACUGGAAUUCUCGGUGUAGCGGUGAAAUGCGUAGAUAUCGAGAGGAACACCUGCGGCGAAGGCGGGCUGCUGGGCUGACACUGACGCUGAAGCGCGAAAGCUAGGGGAGCGAACGGGAUUAGAUACCCCCGGUAGUCCUAGCCUUAAACGAUGAAUGCUUGGUGUCUGGGGUUUUAUAGUCCCCGGGUGCCGUCGCUAACGCUUUAAGCAUUCCGCCUGGGGAGUACGGUCGCAAGACUG